rnacentral:rRNA from 1 species
GUGCCAGCAGCCGCGGUAAUACCGGCAGCCCGAGUGAUGGCCGAUCUUAUUGGGCCUAAAGCGUCCGUAGCUGGCCGCGCAAGUCCAUCGGGAAAUCCACCCGCCCAACGGGUGGCCGUCCGGUGGAAACUACACGGCUUGGGACCGGAAGGCGCGACGGGUACGUCCAGGGUAGGAGUGAAAUCCCGUAAUCCUGGACGGACCGCCGAUGGCGAAAGCACUUCGAGAAAACGGAUCCGACAGUGAGGGACGAAAGCUAAGAUCGCGAACCGGAUUAGAAACCCGAGUAGUCC